GGGAGUGGGUGGGUCCCGGUGGGUCUCGCGGUCUUCAAAACCGUUGCCGGGCCAGCUUCCUGGUUCGGGGAGGGUUCGACUCCCUCGCACUCCCGCCA
rnacentral:tRNA from 1 species